UGCACUGCAUGGGAUCUGCAUGCAGCGGUUUAUUUCUGCUGGGGUGCUCACAGGACACUGCAACAGAAAAAAACUUGUAACUCAUGA